UUGAGUUUGAUCCUGGCUCAGGACGAACGCUAGCGGCGUGCCUAAGGUAUGCAAGUCGAACGGACCCGCAAGGGUUAGUGGCGAACGGUUGAGUAACACGUAGACAACCUGCCUCGAAGUGGGGGACAACAGCGGGAAACUGCUGCUAAUACCGCAUGUGGCCUUCCAACGCCUGUUGGGAUGGCUAAAGGCGCAAGUCGCUUCGAGAUGGGUCUGCGGCCUAUCAGUUUGUUGGUGGGGUAACGGCCUACCAAGACGACGACGGGUAGCUGGUCUGAGAGGAUGAUCAGCCAGACGGGGACUGAGACACGGCCCCGACUCCUUCGGGAGGCAGCAAUGAGGAAUAUUGCGCAAUGGGCGAAAGCCUGACGCAGCGACGCCGCGUGGGUGAGGAAGUUCUUCGGAAUGUAAAGCCCUUUUGUCGGGGACGAUCACAGACGGUACCCGACGAAUAGGCCCCGGCUAACUACGUGCCAGCAGCCGCGGUAAUACGUAGAGGGCAAGCGUUGUCCGGAUUUACUGGGCGUAAAGAGCGCGUAGGCGGAGAUCUAAGCGUGGCCUGAAAGCCCCCGGCUCAACCGGGGAGUGCGGCUGCGAACUGGGUUUCUUGAGGACGAUAGAGGAGAGUGGAAUUCCUGGUGUAGCGGUGAAAUGCGUAGAUAUCAGGAGGAACACCCGAGGCGAAGGCGGCUCUCUGGGUCGUACCUGAC
rnacentral:rRNA from 1 species